GGGCCCGCACAAGCGGUGGAGCAUGUGGUUUAAUUCGAUGAUACGCGAGGAACCUUACCAGGGCUUAAAUGUAGUCUGACAGGGGUGGAAACACCCCCUCCUUCGGGGCAGAUUACAAGGUGCUGCAUGGUUGUCGUCAGCUCGUGCCGUGAGGUGUCAGGUUAAGUCCUAUAACGAGCGCAACCCCUGCCGUUAGUUGCCAGCAUGUAAUGAUGGGAACUCUAACGGGACUGCCGGUGCAAACCGCGAGGAAGGUGGGGGAUGACGUCAAAUCAUCACGGCCCUUACGUCCUGGGCUACACACGUGCUACAAUGGCCGGUACAAAGGGCAGCGAAACCGCGAGGUCAAG
rnacentral:rRNA from 1 species